AACGUAGGUCACAAGCGUUGUCCGGAAUUACUGGGUGUAAAGGGAGCGCAGGCGGGAAGACAAGUUGGAAGUGAAAUCUAUGGGCUCAACCCAUAAACUGCUUUCAAAACUGUUUUUCUUGAGUAGUGCAGAGGUAGGCGGAAUUCCCGGUGUAGCGGUGGAAUGCGUAGAUAUCGGGAGGAACACCAGUGGCGAAGGCGGCCUACUGGGCACCAACUGACGCUGAGGCUUGAAAGUGUGGGUAGCAAACAGG
rnacentral:rRNA from 1 species